GAGUUUGAUCCUGGCUCAGAUUGAACGCUGGCGGCAGGCUUAACACAUGCAAGUCGAGCGGUAACAUUUCUAGCUUGCUAGAAGAUGACGAGCGGCGGACGGGUGAGUAAUACUUAGGAAUCUACCUAGUAGUGGGGGAUAGCUCGGGGAAACUCGAAUUAAUACCGCAUACGACCUACGGGAGAAAGGGGGCAACUUGUUGCUCUCGCUAUUAGAUGAGCCUAAGUCGGAUUAGCUAGAUGGUGGGGUAAAGGCCUACCAUGGCGACGAUCUGUAGCUGGUCUGAGAGGAUGAUCAGCCACACCGGGACUGAGACACGGCCCGGACUCCUACGGGAGGCAGCAGUGGGGAAUAUUGGACAAUGGGGGAAACCCUGAUCCAGCCAUGCCGCGUGUGUGAAGAAGGCCUUUUGGUUGUAAAGCACUUUAAGCAGUGAAGAAGACUCUUCGGUUAAUACCCGGAGACGAUGACAUUAGCUGCAGAAUAAGCACCGGCUAACUCUGUGCCAGCAGCCGCGGUAAUACAGAGGGUGCAAGCGUUAAUCGGAAUUACUGGGCGUAAAGCGAGCGUAGGUGGCUUGAUAAGUCAGAUGUGAAAUCCCCGGGCUCAACCUGGGAACUGCAUCUGAUACUGUCAGGCUAGAGUAGGUGAGAGGAAGGUAGAAUUCCAGGUGUAGCGGUGAAAUGCGUAGAGAUCUGGAGGAAUACCGAUGGCGAAGGCAGCCUUCUGGCAUCAUACUGACACUGAGGCUCGAAAGCGUGGGUAGCAAACAGGAUUAGAUACCCUGGUAGUCCACGCCGUAAACGAUGUCUACUAGUCGUUGGGUCCCUUGAGGACUUAGUGACGCAGCUAACGCAAUAAGUAGACCGCCUGGGGAGUACGGCCGCAAGGUUAAAACUCAAAGGAAUUGACGG
rnacentral:rRNA from 1 species